CAACCCCCACGCCGUUUUCACGUUCUUCAUACAAACAAACCACGAACCACAGCACAACGAGCAAGAGAUAGGAUUUUUAUUUGUUUAUUUAUUUAUUAUUAGCUUUCAGUAUAAAAGGGCCGAUUGUAAACUGAUUUUGGGGGGGGAGACAAAUUUUGUAUUGAAAAAAAUUAAAGAAAAUAAAAAAGAAAAACAGAAAAGCAAGGAUUUUGGAGGUGAC
rnacentral:lncRNA from 1 species